AUUGAACGCUGGCGGCAGGCCUAACACAUGCAAGUCGAACGAGUGGCGGACGGGUGAGUAAUGUAUGGGAAACUGCCUGAUGGACGGGGAUAACUACUGGAAACGGUCGCUAAUACCGCAUACCAUCGGAUGUGCCCAAAUGGGAUUAGCUAGUAGGUGGGGUAAAGGCUCACUUAGGCGACGAUCCCUAGCGGGUCUGAGAGGAUGACCAGCACGACUGGAACGGAGACACGGCCCAGACUCCAACGGGAGGCAGCAGUGGGGAAUAUUGCACAAUGGGCGCAAGCCUGAUGCAGCCAUGCCGCUUGUAUGAAGAAGGCCUUCGGGUUGUAAAGUACUUUCAGCGGGGAGGCGUUACCCGCAGAAGAAGCACCGGCUAACUCCGUGCCAGCAGCCGCGGUAAUUC
rnacentral:rRNA from 1 species